rnacentral:rRNA from 1 species
CCAAGGAGUCUAACAUGUCUGCGAGUUGAAAGGUGGUAAACCCCAAAGGCGUAAUGAAAGUGAAGGCUGUUUACUAGCUAAUACGGGAUCUAGACUUUACACAUCUAGAGCACCGUUGUCCCGUUGCGUCUGCAUGUCAGUGCGGCGGAGACAGAGCAUACAUGCUGGGACCCGAAAGAUGGUGAACUAUGCCUUAGCAGGAUGAAGCCAGAGGAAACUCUGGUGGAGGUCCGAAUCGGUUCUGACGUGCAAAUCGAUCGUCAGACUUGGGUAUAGGGGCGAAAGACUAAUCGAACCAUCUAGUAGCUGGUUCCCGCCGAAGUUUCCCCCAGGAUAGCUGGUAUUCAUAUGUCAGUCUUAUCCGGUAAAGCGAAUGAUUAGAGGCCUUGGGGACGAAACGACCUCAACCUAUUCUCAAACUUUAAAUGGGUAAGAAGUCCUGCUUGCCUAACCGAAACGUGGACAUGGAUGCGAGUACCAAGUGGGCCAUUUUU